UACGUAGGGGGCAAGCGUUGUCCGGAAUCAUUGGGCGUAAAGAGCGUGUAGGCGGCUUGGUAAGUCCGCUGUGAAAGUCCAGGGCUCAACCCUGGAAUGCCGGUGGAAACUGUCAAGCUUGAGUCCGGAAGAGGCGAGUGGAAUUCCUGGUGUAGCGGUGAAAUGCGCAGAUAUCAGGAGGAACACCAAUGGCGAAGGCAGGUCUCUGGGCCGAUACUGACGCUGAGACGCGAAAGCGUGGGGAGCAAACAGG
rnacentral:rRNA from 1 species